UACGUAGGGGGCGAGCGUUGUCCGGAUUUAUUGGGCGUAAAGAGCUCGUAGGCGGUUUGGUAAGUCAGGUGUGAAAUCUCCACGCUCAACGUGGAGGGGCCACCUGAUACUGCCAUGACUGGAGUCCGGUAGAGGAGUGUGGAAUUCCCGGUGUAGCGGUGAAAUGCGCAGAUAUCGGGAGGAACACCGGUGGCGAAGGCGGCCCACUGGCUCGAUACUGACGCUGAGGUGCGAAAGCGUGGGGAGCAAACAGG
rnacentral:rRNA from 1 species